UACGAAGGGGGCUAGCGUUGCUCGGAAUCACUGGGCGUAAAGGGUGCGUAGGCGGGUCUUUAAGUCCGGGGUGAAAUCCUGGAGCUCAACUCCAGAACUGCCUUUGAUACUGGCGAUCUCGAGUCCGGGAGAGGUGAGUGGAACUGCGAGUGUAGAGGUGAAAUUCGUAGAUAUUCGCAAGAACACCAGUGGCGAAGGCGGCUCACUGGCCCGGUACUGACGCUGAGGUGCGAAAGCGUGGGGAGCAAACAGG
rnacentral:rRNA from 1 species